rnacentral:tRNA from 1 species
GAAAUAUAGGCUAAGUAUAAAACCAUGGGCCUUCAAAGCCCAAACCGUGAAUAANAUCACUAUUUCUG